rnacentral:tRNA from 1 species
CAAAGUAAAGCUUUAGAGUAAAGCAUUUCACUUACACUGAAACCUCUUCUGUGCGACUCGGAAUACUUUGA